CAUGAAGGCCAACUCCCUUCCUUUGCAA
rnacentral:tRNA from 1 species